rnacentral:misc_RNA from 1 species
UCACAAGCACACUAGGCUGUUUUAAAAUGUAAAGCUCUUUACAAAUUUAAUCUGUUUUGGCCAAGCACAAACUAAUCUCCUCUUUCAAAGUCUACAAAGAAAGAAAAAUCUUUAAAACGAUACGACUUGUAUGUCACUCUCAUGGUACUACUACUUCUCUAUCAGUCACCCAGGAGUAAUUAAACCUUGCAAGGAUGUCCUUGUUGAUUCACACGGGAUUACACAUGCCCCAUGCUACUCGGGUCAGACCAUAAGCUAGUGAUAAUCUCGCCAAGAAAUCUCCGACUUGAAUCCGCCUGAUGUACUUAGCUGGAAACACUCUUCUUUCUAUGGUAAGUAGGAGAGAAGAAAUCCUGUCGCUGUUAUUCUUCAACAUCCUCACUAGUCUGCUGCCCAUUCUCUGGAUUUCUAGGGGCACUAUGCUUUUUAUGCUUCUUGCUCCUAGCUUUCUUGGCUUUCAUUCGGCGUUUUUUCUCAUUUGCAUCAACCCAAGCAUAAUCUGAAGGUAUACGGAAAGGGUCAAUCUCAUCCUGGAAACUGUGGUUUUUACUGUCGCUAGAUAGCUCAUCACGGUUCCCCUUCAUCCAUGAAAUCCAUGAUGUAGAGCCAUCAGAUUCCUUAGACUUAGCAUCUUGGAAAUUUGUAGGACUUGAAAGAGGGGUUGAAAAUUCGUCCACUGGUUCGAGCUCUUCAAAUUUUGUAAAUGUAACAAGAACUCGAAUUGUUGGAACAAUAGGGAUAGCAACCUUGACAGGAAACGUGCCAGGAGGUAAUUUAGUAGUUAAAAGCUCCCUUAAUCUUCUGACAGCUUUAACCUUGUUGGCUAGAAUGUCAAGCAAUGGCAACAGUUCUUCUGUUUUCAGUGGGAAGUCCGGUGUCAACCACAAAACAGGUCUUAAUCCUUUUUUAUACUCACUUUCG